CUGCGAAUGGCUCAUUAUAUAAGUUAUCGUUUAUUUGAUAGUACCUUACUACAUGGAUAACCGUGGUAAUUCUAGAGCUAAUACAUGCUGAAAAUCCCGACUUCGGAAGGGAUGUAUUUAUUAGAUACAAAACCAAUGCCCUUCGGGGCUCUCUUGGUGAUUCAUGAUAACUUCUCGAAUCGCACGGCCCCGCGCCGGCGAUGGUUCAUUCAAAUUUCUUCCCUAUCAACUUUCGAUGCUACGGUAUUGUCCUAGCAUGGUUGCAACGGGUGACGGAGGGUUAGGGCUCGACCCCGGAGAAGGAGCCUGAGAAACGGCUACUACAUCCAAGGAAGGCAGCAGGCGCGCAAAUUACCCAAUCCCGACUCGGGGAGGUAGUGACGAUAAAUACCGAUACAGGGCUCUUUUGGGUCCUGUAAUUGGAAUGAGUACAAUUCAAAUCCCUUAACGAGGAACAAUUGGAGGGCAAGUCUGGUGCAA
rnacentral:rRNA from 1 species